rnacentral:rRNA from 1 species
UACGUAGGGGGCAAGCGUUGUCCGGAUUUAUUGGGCGUAAAGAGCGUGUAGGCGGCCAGGUAGGUCUGCUGUGAAAACUCGAGGCUUAACCUCGAGAUGUCGGCGGAAACCAUCUGGCUAGAGUCCGGAAGAGGAGAGUGGAAUUCCGGGUGUAGUGGUGGAAUGCGUAGAGAUCCGGAGGAACACCAGCGGCGAAGGCGGCAUCCUGGACUGGUCCUGACACUCAGGAGCGAAAGCGUGGGGAGCGAUCCGG